GCUCUGAGUUGMGACUUCGGUCUGCUACCUCUUACCCAUGUCUUUUGAGUACCUUCGUUUCCUCGGCGGGUCCGCCCGCCGAUUGGACAACAUUCAAACCCUUUGCAGUUGCAAUCAGCGUCUGAAAAAACAUAAUAGUUACAACUUUCAACAACGGAUCUCUUGGUUCUGGCAUCGAUGAAGAACGCAGCGAAAUGCGAUAAGUAGUGUGAAUUGCAGAAUUCAGUGAAUCAUCGAAUCUUUGAACGCACAUUGCGCCCCUUGGUAUUCCAUGGGGCAUGCCUGUUCGAGCGUCAUUUGUACCUUCAAGCUCUGCUUGGUGUUGGGUGUUUGUCUCGCCUCUGCGUGUAGACUCGCCUUAAAACAAUUGGCAGCCGGCGUAUUGAUUUCGGAGCGCAGUACAUCUCGCGCUUUGCACUCAUAACGACGACGUCCAAAAGUACAUUUUUACACUCUUGACCUCGGAUCAGGUAGGGAUACCCGCUGAACUUAAGCAUAUCAAUAAGCGGAGGAAGG
rnacentral:rRNA from 1 species